rnacentral:rRNA from 1 species
UCAGAACGAACGCUGGCGGCAGGCUUAACACAUGCAAGUCGAGCGCCCCGCAAGGGGAGCGGCAGACGGGUGAGUAACGCGUGGGAAUCUACCCUUGACUACGGAAUAACGCAGGGAAACUUGUGCUAAUACCGUAUGUGUCCUUCGGGAGAAAGAUUUAUCGGUCAAGGAUGAGCCCGCGUUGGAUUAGCUAGUUGGUGGGGUAAAGGCCUACCAAGGCGACGAUCCAUAGCUGGUCUGAGAGGAUGAUCAGCCACAUUGGGACUGAGACACGGCCCAAACUCCUACGGGAGGCAGCWGUGGGGAAUAUUGGACKAAUGGGCGCAAGCCUGAUCCAGCCAUGCCGCGUGAGUGAUGAAGGCCCUAGGGUUGUAAAGCUCUUUCACCGGAGAAGAUAAUGACG